GAUGAACGCUAGCUACAGGCUUAACACAUGCAAGUCGAGGGGUAACAAGAGGAAAGCUUGCUUUUCUUGUUGACGACCGGCGCACGGGUGAGUAACGCGUAUCCAACCUGCCUAUAACUAGGGAAUAACCUUGCGAAAGUAAGACUAAUACCCUAUGAUUUCCUUUGAUGACAUCAGAUUAGGAAUAAAGAUUUAUCGGUUAUAGAUGGGGAUGCGUCUGAUUAGCUUGUUGGCGGGGUAACGGCCAACCAAGGCAACGAUCAGUAGGGGUUCUGAGAGGAAGGUCACCCACAUUGGAACUGAGACACGGUACAAACUCCUACGGGAGGCAGCAGUGAGGAAUAUUGGUCAAUGGGCGGAAGCGUGAACCAGCCAAGUAGCGUGCAGGAUGACGGCCCUAUGGGUUGUAAACUGCUUUUAUACAGGAAUAAAGUUAGCCACGUGUGGUUAUUUGUAGGUACUGUAUGAAUAAGGACCGGCUAAUUCCGUGCCAGCCGCCGCCGUAAGAC
rnacentral:rRNA from 1 species